rnacentral:lncRNA from 1 species
UAGGAUGCUGCUCAGGUACGCAUUUUCACAACUCCGGUCCACUCAAAUUGCUACAGUUCAUUGUAGUGCACAAACCACUUCUCGACAUCUCCUGCAGAAACUGAGCCAGACUUGCAUGGUAAUCAGUACUAAUACUGGUCGUGUAUACAGACCAAAAGACUGUGAAAGACUUGUUCUGUAUUUAAAAGAUAUCAACCUACCUAAACUUGAUAAAUGGGGGACCAGUACUUUGGUAGCGUUCCUACAACAGGUAUUGACAUAUCAAGGAUUUUAUGAUGAAAAUUUGGAGUGGGUUGGUCUAGAAAAUAUUCAAAUUGUGGCUUCUAUGUCAGCUGGAGGAAGACUGGGAAGGCAUAAACUUACUACCAGAUUUACGUCCAUCGUUCGUCUUUGUUCUAUAGAUUACCCAGAAAGAGAGCAGUUACAAACGAUUUAUGGAGCAUAUUUGGAACCAGUUCUACAUAAAAAUCUGAAGAAUCAUUCUAUUUGGGGUUCUUCAUCAAAAAUUUAUCUUUUAGCAGGAUCUAUGGUACAAGUGUAUGAACAGGUAG